rnacentral:snoRNA from 1 species
UUAGCCCCUAAACCCAAGGGCCCCUAUCUACUGGUAAUAGGGGCUCAGACACAGGUCCUACAGCAAAAGGUUACCUCAUCACCUUUGAGGACUUCCUGUGCCCUUCAAAGUGAAUUUAGAGUUUAUACACAC